CAAACUGCUUAGUAAUAGUAAUUGAACAUUCGAAAGUGAACAUGUUUCUUACUUUUUUGAGCUGUUAAAUGUUCAGUUUGUUGGUUUAGUUGCUAAAAGACCGAUCGAGCACUUCAGAAGAUCACACUUUAUUUGUCGUCUCAAUAUCUACGAAAUUAAAUAUUAAAUAAGGGCAUUUUCAUUGUGUUGUUGACGACGUAUAAAAUACAAGAGACAAGAAACAAGAAACCAGCCAAAGAAACAAGCCAAAAUAUCUAGGAUACCACUUUCAAAAAAAGAGCUUGGCAUAGCAGAAUACAUGAAUAUGGUCCGCCAAAUAACGUUCAACCAACGCCAGUGCACAGCGUAUGUAAAAUCUAUACGAGUCUAUUCAAAGUCGAAGCUAAUACAAUAUGUCUGAUAUCACAAUAAAAUGGCUUACCAGUAAGGACUUGUAAACCUUGCUUUUAUCUUU